rnacentral:rRNA from 1 species
UACGUAGGGGGCUAGCGUUGUCCGGAAUCAUUGGGCGUAAAGAGCGUGUAGGCGGCCCGGUAAGUCCGCUGUGAAAGUCGGGGGCUCAACCCUCGAAUGCCGGUGGAUACUGUCGGGCUAGAGUGCGGAAGAGGCGAGUGGAAUUCCUGGUGUAGCGGUGAAAUGCGCAGCUAUCAGGAGGAACACCAAUUGCGAAGGCAGCUCGCUGGGACGUAACUGACGCUGAGGCGCGAAAGCGUGGGGAGCAAACAGG